rnacentral:rRNA from 1 species
UGGGGAAUAUUGGACAAUGGGCGCAAGCCUGAUCCAGCAAUGCCGCGUGUGUGAAGAAGGCCUGCGGGUUGUAAAGCACUUUCAGUGGGGAGGAAGGCCUCGGCGUUAAUAUCGUCGAGGAUUGACGUUACCUACAGAAGAAGCACCGGCUAACUCUGUGCCAGCAGCCGCGGUAAUACGUAGGGUGCGAGCGUUAAUCGGAAUUACUGGGCGUAAAGCGUGCGCAGGCGGUUUUGUAAGACAGAUGUGAAAUCCCCGGGCUUAACCUGGGAACUGCGUUUGUGACUGCAAGGCUGGAGCACGGCAGAGGGGGGUGGAAUUCCACGUGUAGCAGUGAAAUGCGUAGAGAUGUGGAGGAACACCGAUGGCGAAGGCAGCCCCCUGGGCCUGCACUGACGCUCAUGCACGAAAGCGUGGGGAGCAAACA